rnacentral:rRNA from 1 species
GUGCCAGCAGCCGCGGUAAUACGGAGGGGGCGAGCGUUAUUCGGAAUUAUUGGGCGUAAAGGGCGCGUAGGCGGCCCGGUAAGUCAAAGGUGAAAUCCCUCGGCUCAACUGAGGAACUGCCUUUGAAACUGUCGGGCUUGAGGCCGGGAGAGGGUAGUGGAAUUCCCAGUGUAGCGGUGAAAUGCGUAGAUAUUGGGAGGAACACCAGUGGCGAAGGCGGCUACCUGGACCGGUUCUGACGCUGAGGCGCGAAAGCGUGGGUAGCAAACAGGAUUAGAUACCCUGGUAGUCC